AAAGUCGUAACAAGGUUUCCGUAGGUGAACCUGCGGAAGGAUCAUUAACACGUAUCCAACGUUCAAAACUCCCCGUGAACAUUGACCCGUUGUGCCCUGCCCCUAAUUGCCCUAAAAAAGCAUUCCCAGACGAAGGCCAUAGCAGCAAUCCCUGUACUCCGUCGCUGAACAUGGAAGGAGAAGGGACCUCUGUUCGCCAGGGUCGCGCAGGCUUAAGCACGCAAGUCAGCUGUCGGUUUUUUUCCCCAAGCAAUCAGUGAGUGUCAGUGCACUGAUUGUGUAAGGAGUUCGCUUUACGAUCACUGGAGGCCGCUCACCGGCCGGUGGACUAACUGACUGGUCGCAAGAUCCUUAGGGACCCCACUUUAUAUUGCCGCUCCGCGCUAACAACGCCGGGCAUUAAAAAACGUACUAAACAACUGUUAACAAUGGAUAUCUUGGUUCUC
rnacentral:misc_RNA from 1 species